UCGAGAAUCUUCCACAAUGGGCGAAAGCCUGAUGGAGCGACAUCGCGUGACUGAUGAAGAGCUUCGGUUUGUAAAAGUCUUUUAUGAGGGAAGAAGUUUAUUGACGGUACCUCAUGAAUAAGGGGUUGCUAAACUCGUGCCAGCAGCAGCGGUAAUACGAGUACCCCGAGCGUUAUCCGGAAUUAUUGGGCGUAAAGGAUGUGUAGGUGGUCUUGUUAGUCGUGUGUCAAAUCUCAAAGCUUAACUUUGA
rnacentral:rRNA from 1 species